rnacentral:rRNA from 1 species
GACGAACGCUGGCGGCGUGCUUAACACAUGCCAGUCGAACGCGCCUGUCCUCUGGGUUUCUGGGGGGUGGGUGAGUGGCGAACGGGUGAGUAACACGUGAGUAACCUGCCCCCUUCUUUGGGAUAACGGUCUGAAAGGGCUGCUAAUACCGGGUAUUCACUGGUCUCCGCAUGGGGUCUGGUGGAAAGGUUUUUUUCUGGUGGGGGAUGGGCUCGCGGCCUAUCAGCUUGUUGGUGGGGUGAUGGCCCACCAAGGCUUUGACGGGUAGCCGGCCUGAGAGGGUGACCGGUCACAUUGGGACUGAGAUACGGCCCAGACUCGUACGGGAGGCAGCAGUGGGGAAUAUUGCACAAUGGGCGCAAGCCUGAUGCAGCGACGCCGCGUGAGGGAUGGAGGCCUUCGGGUUGUGAACCUCUUUCGCCCGUGGUCAAGCCGCGACGUGGGUCGUGGUGAGGGUAGUGGGUAAAGAAGCGCCGGCUAACUACGUG